AGAGUUUGAUCCUGGCUCAGGACGAACGCUGGCGGCGUGCUUAACACAUGCAAGUCGAACGGUGAACCCCAGCUUGCUGGGGGGAUCAGUGGCGAACGGGUGAGUAACACGUGAGUAACCUGCCCCAGACUCUGGGAUAAGCCUUGGAAACGGGGUCUAAUACCGGAUAAGCGGCACCACCGCAUGGUGAGUGUUGGGAAAGUUUUUCGGUCUGGGAUGGACUCGCGGCCUAUCAGCUUGUUGGUGAGGUAAUGGCUCACCAAGGCGACGACGGGUAGCCGGCCUGAGAGGGCGACCGGCCACACUGGAACUGAGACACGGUCCAGACUCCUACGGGAGGCAGCAGUGGGGAAUAUUGCACAAUGGGCGCAAGCCUGAUGCAGCGACGCCGCGUGGGGGAUGAAGGCCUUCGGGUUGUAAACCCCUUUCAGCAGGGAAGAAGCGAGAGUGACGGUACCUGCAGAAGAAGCGCCGGCUAACUACGUGCCAGCAGCCGCGGUAAUACGUAGGGCGCAAGCGUUGUCCGGAAUUAUUGGGCGUAAAGAGCUCGUAGGCGGUUUGUCGCGUCUGCUGUGAAAUCCCGAGGCUCAACCUCGGGCCUGCAGUGGGUACGGGCAGACUAGAGUGUGGUAGGGGAGACUGGAAUUCCUGGUGUAGCGGUGGAAUGCGCAGAUAUCAGGAGGAACACCGAUGGCGAAGGCAGGUCUCUGGGCCACAACUGACGCUGAGGAGCGAAAGCGUGGGGAGCGAACAGGAUUAGAUACCCUGGUAGUCCACGCCGUAAACGGUGGGCACUAGAUGUGGGGCUCUUUCCAUGAGUUCCGCGUCGCAGCUAACGCAUUAAGUGCCCCGCCUGGGGAGUACGGCCGCAAGGCUAAAACUCAAAGGAAUUGACGGGGGCCCGCACAAGCGGCGGAGCAUGCGGAUUAAUUCGAUGCAACGCGAAGAACCUUACCAAGGCUUGACAUAUACCCUCUAUCCCCAGAGAUGGGGAGUGCUUCGGCGGGGUAUACAGGUGGUGCAUGGUUGUCGUCAGCUCGUGUCGUGAGAUGUUGGGUUAAGUCCCGCAACGAGCGCAACCCUCGUCCUAUGUUGCCAGCACGUGAUGGUGGGGACUCAUAGGAGACUGCCGGGGUCAACUCGGAGGAAGGUGGGGAUGACGUCAAAUCAUCAUGCCCCUUAUGUCUUGGGCUUCACGCAUGCUACAAUGGCCGGUACAAUGGGCUGCGAUACCGUAAGGUGGAGCGAAUCCCAAAAAGCCGGUCUCAGUUCGGAUUGAGGUCUGCAACUCGACCUCAUGAAGUCGGAGUCGCUAGUAAUCGCAGAUCAGCAACGCUGCGGUGAAUACGUUCCCGGGCCUUGUACACACCGCCCGUCAAGUCACGAAAGUCGGUAACACCCGAAGCCAGUGGCCCAACUCGUAAGAGAGGGAGCUGUCUAAGGUGGGAUUGGCGAUUGGGACUAAGUCGUAACAAGGUAGCCGUACCGGAAGGUGCGGCUG
rnacentral:rRNA from 1 species